GAAUUCGCCCUUAGAGUUUGAUCCUGGCUCAGGACGAACGCUGGCGGCGUGCUUAACACAUGCAAGUCGAACGAGAAUCUGUGGAUCGAGGAUUCGUCCAAGUGAAGCAGAGGACAGUGGCGGACGGGUGAGUAACGCGUGAGGAACCUGCCUUUCAGAGGGGGACAACAGUUGGAAACGACUGCUAAUACCGCAUGAUACAUUUGGGUGGCAUCAUCUGAAUGUCAAAGAUUUAUCGCUGAAAGAUGGCCUCGCGUCUGAUUAGCUAGUUGGUGAGGUAACGGCCCACCAAGGCGACGAUCAGUAGCCGGACUGAGAGGUUGACCGGCCACAUUGGGACUGAGAUACGGCCCAGACUCCUACGGGAGGCAGCAGUGGGGAAUAUUGGGCAAUGGGCGCAAGCCUGACCCAGCAACGCCGCGUGAAGGAAGAAGGCUUUCGGGUUGUAAACUUCUUUUAAGAGGGAAGAGCAGAAGACUGUACCUCUAGAAUAAGCCACGGCUAACUACGUGCCAGCAGCCGCGGUAAUACGUAGGUGGCAAGCGUUGUCCGGAUUUACUGGGUGUAAAGGGCGUGCAGCCGGGAAUGCAAGUCAGAUGUGAAAUCCAUGGGCUUAACCCAUGAACUGCAUUUGAAACUGUAUUUCUUGAGUACUGGAGAGGCAAUCGGAAUUCCUAGUGUAGCGGUGAAAUGCGUAGAUAUUAGGAGGAACACCAGUGGCGAAGGCGGAUUGCUGGACAGCAACUGACGGUGAGGCGCGAAAGUGUGGGGAGCAAACAGGAUUAGAUACCCUGGUAGUCCACACUGUAAACGAUGAAUACUAGGUGUGCGGGGACUGACCCCUUCAGUGCCGCAGUUAACACAAUAAGUAAUCCACCUGGGGAGUACGACCGCAAGGUUGAAACUCAAAGGAAUUGACGGGGGCCCGCACAAGCAGUGGAGUAUGUGGUUUAAUUCGAAGCAACGCGAAGAACCUUACCAGGUCUUGACAUCCGAUGCAUAUCACAGAGAUGUGUGAAGUCCUUCGGGACAUCGAGACAGGUGGUGCAUGGUUGUCGUCAGCUCGUGUCGUGAGAUGUUGGGUUAAGUCCCGCAACGAGCGCAACCCUUAUUGCCAGUUACUACGAAAGAGGACUCUGGCGAGACUGCCGUUGACAAAACGGAGGAAGGUGGGGAUGACGUCAAAUCAUCAUGCCCUUUAUGACCUGGGCUACACACGUACUACAAUGGCGUUUAACAAAGAGAAGCAAGACCGCGAGGUGGAGCAAAACUCAAAAACAACGUCUCAGUUCAGAUUGCAGGCUGCAACUCGCCUGCAUGAAGUCGGAAUUGCUAGUAAUCGCGGAUCAGCAUGCCGCGGUGAAUACGAUGCCGGGCCUUGCACACACCGCCGGUCA
rnacentral:rRNA from 1 species